AUGGCGGACGCCACGCCCACGAAACCCAGCAAGAAAGGUUCCUCCGAGCCCGCCGUCCUCUAUGACGGCGCCAAGGCCAAGACUAAGUCCAAGGCCGUCGUCCACGCCGACACCGAGGACGGGCAUGCCGGCGAUGCGGCGAGUCCUGCUCCUGCCCACCGGACCCGGCUUCUGCGGUGCGCGUGCUGCGGCCUGGCCGCGCUCGCCGCGUUGGCCGCCGUGGUGAUCCUCGUCCUGUCGCUCACCGUGCUGCGGGUCCGGGACCCUGACCUGACCAUGGACUCCGUCACCGUGGAGCGCUUCCACGUGGGGUUCGCGGCGGUUCCCGACGGCCGCCCGCCGCUGCGGAUCAACGCGACGCUGGCCGCUUGGAUCAUGAUCCGGAAUCCAAACUACGCGUCCAUGCGCUUCGGAGCUAGCACGACGGAGAUCUUCCUGGACGGCGUGCCGGACCGCGUGGGCCUCGGGAGCGCGCCGCCAGGGGAGUCGUCGGCACGGAGUACCAGCCGAGUGCGCGGCAGCAUGGACGUGUUCGUCGACAGGGUCGCCCCAGCCGUGGUCGGGGAGGUGCUGUUCGGCCGCGGCGAGGUGUGGCUCACCAGCCGCACGGCCAUGGACGGCAAGGUGAGCGUGCUCGGCGGGCUCUACGGGCGGCGCACGGUGCGCGUUGCCAUGCGGUGCCGCGUCGUGCUGCACGUGUCCGCGGUCGUCGUCGUCGCUGGCUCCCCUUCAUGUGUGGCGGAGUUCGGCCGCUGA
rnacentral:rRNA from 1 species